AUACGUAGGGUGCGAGCGUUGUCCGGAAUUACUGGGCGUAAAGAGCUCGUAGGUGGUUUGUCGCGUCGUCUGUGAAAUUCCGGGGCUUAACUCCGGGCGUGCAGGCGAUACGGGCAUAACUUGAGUACUGUAGGGGAGACUGGAAUUCCUGGUGUAGCGGUGAAAUGCGCAGAUAUCAGGAGGAACACCGGUGGCGAAGGCGGGUCUCUGGGCAGUAACUGACGCUGAGGAGCGAAAGGAUGGGUAGCGAACAGGAUUAGAUACCCUGGUAGUCCAUGCCGUAAACGGUGGGCGCUAGGUGUAGGGGUCUUCCACGACUUCUGUGCCGUAGCUAACGCAUUAAGCGCCCCGCCUGGGGAGUACGGCCGCAAGGCUAAAACUCAAAUGAAUUGACGGGG
rnacentral:rRNA from 1 species